AGCUCCAGUAGCGUAUAUUAAAGUUGUUGCAGUUAAAAAGCUCGUAGUUGGAUUUCUGGUAUGACAAGAAUGUGGUCACUAUCCGCUAGGACGGUGACCCAGUACUCGUCUACCAUCCUUCUAGAAAGCGCGCCUACCCUUCACUGGGCUGGGCGCGUGCUCUAGAUCUUUUACUUUGAAGAAAUUAGAGUGUUCAAAGCAGGCUUGCGCUAUGAAUACAUUAGCAUGGAAUAAUAACUUAGGACUUUGGUUCUAUUUUGUUGGUCUAUAGAACUGAAGUAAUGAUUGAUAGGGAUAGUUGGGGGUGCUAGUAUUCCGCGGCCAGAGGUGAAAUUCUUGGAUUCGCGGAAGACUAACUUAUGCGAAAGCAUUCGCCAAGGAUGUCUUCUUUA
rnacentral:rRNA from 1 species